rnacentral:rRNA from 1 species
AUUGAACGCUGGCGGCAGGCCUAACACAUGCAAGUCGAGCGGAUGAAGGCAGCUUGCUCCUGGAUUCAGCGUCGGACGGGUGAGUAAUGCCUAGGAAUCUGCCUGGUAGUGGGUGAUAACGUCCGGAAACUGGCGCUAAUACCGCAUACGUCCUGAUGGAGAAAGUGGGGGAUCUUCGGACCUCACGCUAUCAUAUGAGCCUAGGCCGGAUUAGCUAGUUUGUGGGGUAAAGGCCUACCAAGGCGACGAUCCGUAACUGGUCUGAGAGGAUGAUCAGUCACACUGGAGCUGGGACACGGUCCAGACUACUACGGGAGGCAGCAGUGGGGAAUAUUGGACAAUGGGGGGAAGCCUGAUACAGCCAUGCGGAGUGUGUGAAGAAGGUCUUCGGAUUGUAAAGCACUUUAAGUUGGGAGGAAGGGCAGUAAGUUAAUACCUUGCUGUUUUGACGUUAACAACAGAAGAAGCACCGGCUAACUUCGUG